GCGCCUCACCCUGCCCAGCGCUUUGCAGCUGCUGUCACGCGCGCACACUCAGGCUUGGUCGGAGCCUGCCGCGUGCUGGCAGCUGAAAUCCAGGCGUUUCCACGGUUGCAGUGGCUGUGAAACCCCAGCGGGCUGUGUCCAUGCCGGACACAAGUGCGGGAAGACAGCACGACCACAGGACCCCGCCUGGUGAGGCACAUGGAGGACCCACAGUGCACGUGAGGCGGAGAGAGGUUGACUGACUUGCCCCUUGCCAGCAGAGCCAGUCUGCCCUUCAUUACAUCACCAGAGAAACAAAAACGAGGCUUCCUGUGUGCCCUUCACAAUAGAGCGGGAUAAUAUGAACAAUUUGUGAUGAGAAGUCCUGUGAUCUUGAGAAUGUAACACCGGGUUUCAUAACUCUUCCUACCAAAAAACCUUCAGAAGCUCACGGUUAGACACCAGAGGGAAGCCAGACCCAGCAGUCUGUUUCCUCCCUGUCCAGCUCCUGCCCAACUUUCCCAAUUCUUUCCACUACUCCCAGGUGGCCUGGAGGACCUGUGCCCACCAGCCCCUUGGCAGUGCCUGCACCCAGCUCUACCCUAACCGCCACUUGCCUGUUGAUCCCUGCAUUCCGCCUUUGUUCAUCAGCUGCUUGUACCCAGCACCCUCCCCCCACUUAUCCAAUUCCUGCUUCUUGCACAAAGUAUUCCAGUGCUGAGGCAACUCUGCUAGGCUCUCCAGGGCCCCAGACUUCCUAACGUGUGUUCUGUGACACUUAAUAACAUACUGCCUCCCUUGCAUUGUUACUUACUUUCUGUACUGUUACUUUUCAUGAGUUUGUGGUAUAUGCCUUGUCUCCCUGACUGUUACUGCAGACCUUGAGCUGUAUGUCUGACUCACUCCCAGUGAUGGACACUCAGCAAGAAGCUGCCUCGGGAAAUCAGGCCACUCCAUCCAUCUGACUGGGCUGCCAGGCGCCGCUUUCAUCUCUGUCCUUGACUGGGGGUAGCCUGUCCAUCUCGACAAGAUGGAAACAGCACUUUGAAUUGCAUGGGAAAAAUGUACUCUACAGAGAGGAGACAAAUACUCUUCUUUUGGCCAAGUUUUCAGAGGAAAUAUAAGGUAUGUUCAUUAAAAUAUGUCCCUGCUGAUAAUCAGCACUGGAAAUUCAAAAGGUGUUACCUUGAAUAAAUGUUAUUUUUCACA